rnacentral:lncRNA from 1 species
GGACCUCAUUUCAGUUCCUUUGAUGGAUGGAAAUCAGGAGCAUACGAUCCAGAUCAGGUCGAGUCUGGAUCAGGUGAUAUAAGACUAGCUAACCUCCUUUUUAUAGAAAAAUACCGACAUCUUUGCCUGGAUGCCAACAAACAUGUGGGGGAUUGAUCCCUCAGUGAUCUUACAUCGGUUGAACAUGAGCCCAAACCACCACCCC